CCUACGGGGGGCAGCAGUGAGGAAUAUUGGUCAAUGGCCGGAAGGCUGAACCAGCCAUGCCGCGUGAAGGUCAGUGCCCUAUGGGCGUUAAACUUCUUUUGUGCGGGAGCAAUAAUGGUCACGUGUGGCCAGACGAGAGUACCGUACGAAUAAGCAUCGGCUAACUCCGUGCCAGCAGCCGCGGUAAUACGGGGGAUGCAAGCGUUAUCCGGAUUUAUUGGGUUUAAAGGGUGCGUAGGCUGUGAGGUAAGUCAGCGGUGAAAUGCCCCCGCUCAACGGGGUGAAGUGCCAUUGAUACUGCCUGGCUGGAAUGCGGAUGCCGUGGGAGGAAUGUGUGGUGUAGCGGUGAAAUGCAUAGAUAUCACACAGAACACCGAUUGCGAAGGCAUCUCACGAAUCCGCGAUUGACGCUAAUGCACGAAAGCGUGGGUAUCAAACAGGAUUAGAUACCCCAGUAGUC
rnacentral:rRNA from 1 species